GGGGAAUAUUGCACAAUGGGGGAAACCCUGAUGCAGCGACGCCGCGUGGAGGAAGAAGGUCUUCGGAUUGUAAACUCCUGUUGUUGAGGAAGAUAAUGACGGUACUCAACAAGGAAGUGACGGCUAACUACGUGCCAGCAGCCGCGGUAAAACGUAGGUCACAAGCGUUGUCCGGAAUUACUGGGUGUAAAGGGAGCGCAGGCGGGAAGACAAGUUGGAAGUGAAAUCCAUGGGCUCAACCCAUGAACUGCUUUCAAAACUGUUUUUCUUGAGUAGUGCAGAGGUAGGCGGAAUUCCCGGUGUAGCGGUGGAAUGCGUAGAUAUCGGGAGGAACACCAGUGGCGAAGGCGGCCUACUGGGCACCAACUGACGCUGAGGCUCGAAAGUGUGGGUAGCAAACAGGAUUAGAUACCCUGGUAGUCCACACUGUAAACGAUGAUUACUAGGUGUUGGAGGAUUGACCCCUUCAGUGCCGCAGUUAACACAAUAAGUAAUCCACCUGGGGAGUACGACCGCAAGGUUGAAACUCAAAGGAAUUGACGGGGGCCCGCACAAGCAGUGGAGUAUGUGGUUUAAUUCGACGCAACGCGAAGAACCUUACCAAGUCUUGACAUCCUGCGACGGUGCUGGAAACAGAACUUUCCUUCGGGACGCAGAGACAGGUGGUGCAUGGUUGUCGUCAGCUCGUGUCGUGAGAUGUUGGGUUAAGUCCCGCAACGAGCGCAACCCUUAUGGUCAGUUACUACGCAAGAGGACUCUGGCCAGACUGCCGUUGACAAAACGGAGGAAGGUGGGGAUGACGUCAAAUCAUCAUGCCCUUUAUGACUUGGGCUACACACGUACUACAAUGGCGUUAAACAAAGAGAAGCAAGACCGCGAGGUGGAGCAAAACUCAGAAACAACGUCCCAGUUCGGAUUGUAGUCUGCAACUCGACUACAUGAAGCUGGAAUCGCUAGUAAUCGCGAAUCAGAAUGUCGCGGUGAAUACGUUCCCG
rnacentral:rRNA from 1 species